AACCAUAGAAACCUGCGGAGUACCUGCGGAAGGAUCAUUACAGAGUUAUCCAACUCCCAAACCCAUGUGAACUUAUCUCUUUGUUGCCUCGGCGCAAGCUACCCGGGACCCCGCGCCCCGGGCGGCCCGCCGGCGGACAAACCAAAACUCUUGUUAUCUUAGUUGAUUCUCUGAGCGUCUUAUUUAAUAAGUCAAAACUUUUAGCAAUGGAUCU
rnacentral:misc_RNA from 1 species